ACAAGCUCGCUUUCAGCGUUGUUCUGAGAGUGGUGUAUGUGGUGGGGAUUGGCCCAUUUUAAUUUAAUUGCUUGGUAUAUUUCCAGCUAAAUUCCUUGCCUGUUAAGAUACCGGCAGAGGUUUACUCGGCUUUCUGAGACCUACCAUUUGCCAUCUGGAGGAAUCCUUACCGCCUCUCUUCUCUUUCCUCAUUCAAACACCAAUAACCAGCUGAGGUCAGCUAAUCUUCCCAUGGAGAACGCCAGCUUGGGGUCAGGAACAACUCUGCACUUGAGUCCUGCCUGCCACCUCUUGCCAGGUUAUGUGUCAUUGGAGAACAAUGCACCUGAUGUGAUCCCUCUUCACCUACUGCAGCAGCUGGAGAAUUACUUGGAUCUUCCUGGUUAUGCAUCAUCCUGGCUCAGUGAAACCAGCUGAGAUGCAAGAGAAGGGGGAGAUCCUGCUGGUUUAUAGUUCCCCAAGUCUCCACUUUGCCCUGGGGAAGUGGGACACCAGCCUUCAGAUACCCUGAGUAGGAAGCAGCUCCUGGAAUGGGUAGAUUUUCCUGGAUAUGGUGCUGGGUGGCUUCCAGGGGUUUUUCUGGACCACUUCUGUUCUUGGAAAUAAACAUUUCACCAACA